UCAAACUUGGUCAUUUAGAGGAAGUAAAAGUCGUAACAAGGUUUCCGUAGGUGAACCUGCGGAAGGAUCAUUACUGAGUGAGGGCCCUCUGGGUCCAACCUCCCACCCGUGUUUAAUCGUACCUUGUUGCUUCGGCAGGCCCGCCUCACGGCCGCCGGGGGGCUUCUGCCCCCGGGCCCGCGCCUGCCGAAGACACCAUUGAACGCUGUCUGAAGCUUGCAGUCUGAGCAGAUUUAGCAAAAUCGUUAAAACUUUCAACAACGGAUCUCUUGGUUCCGGCAUCGAUGAAGAACGCAGC
rnacentral:misc_RNA from 1 species